CGAAGGGGGCUAGCGUUGUUCGGAAUUACUGGGCGUAAAGCGCAUGUAGGCGGCCAUUCAAGUCGGGGUGAAAUCCUGAGGCUCAACCUCAGAACUGCCUUCGAUACUGUCUGGCUCGAGUAUGGAGGAGGUAGGUGGAACUGCGAGUGUAGAGGUGAAAUUCGUAGAUAUUCGCAAGAACACCAGUGGCGAAGGCGGCCUACUGGUCCAUCACUGACGCUGAGAUGCGAAAGCGUGGGGAGCAAACAGGAUUAGAUACCCUGGUAGUCCACGCCGUAAACAAUGAGAGCUAGCUGUUGGGAAGUUUACUUCUCAGUAGCGCAGAUAACUCAAUAAGCUCUCCGCCUGGGGAGUACGGUCGCAAGAUUA
rnacentral:rRNA from 1 species